GGUUAAGCGACUAAGCGUACACGGUGGAUGCCCUGGCAGUCAGAGGCGAUGAAGGACGUGCUAAUCUGCGAUAAGCGUCGGUGAGGUGAUAUGAACCGUUAUAACCGGCGAUUUCCGAAUGGGGAAACCCAGUGUGUUUCGACACACUAUCAUUAACUGAAUCCAUAGGUUAAUGAGGCGAACCGGGGGAACUGAAACAUCUAAGUACCCCAGUAGCGGCGAGCGAACGGGGAGGAGCCCAGAGCCUGAAUCAGUGUGUGUGUUAGUGGAAGCGUCUGGAAAGGCGCGCGAUACAGGGUGACAGCCCCGUACACAAAAAUGCACAUAUUGUGAGCUCGAUGAGUAGGGCGGGACACGUGGUAUCCUGUCUGAAUAUGGGGGACCAUCCUCCAAGGCUAAAUACUCCUGACUGACCGAUAGUGAACCAGUACCGUGAGGGAAAGGCGAAAAGAACCCCGGCGAGGGGAGUGAAAAAGAACCUGAAACCGUGUACGUACAAGCAGUGGGAGCCUCUUAAUGGGGUGACUGCGUACCUUUUGUAUAAUGGGUCAGCGACUUAUAUUCUGUAGCAAGGUUAACCGAAUAGGGGAGCCGAAGGGAAACCGAGUCUUAACUGGGCGUUAAGUUGCAGGGUAUAGACCCGAAACCCGGUGAUCUAGCCAUGGGCAGGUUGAAGGUUGGGUAACACUAACUGGAGGACCGAACCGACUAAUGUUGAAAAAUUAGCGGAUGACUUGUGGCUGGGGGUGAAAGGCCAAUCAAACCGGGAGAUAGCUGGUUCUCCCCGAAAGCUAUUUAGGUAGCGCCUCGUGAAUUCAUCUCCGGGGGUAGAGCACUGUUUCGGCAAGGGGGUCAUCCCGACUUACCAACCCGAUGCAAACUGCGAAUACCGGAGAAUGUUAUCACGGGAGACACACGGCGGGUGCUAACGUCCGUCGUGAAGAGGGAAACAACCCAGACCGCCAGCUAAGGUCCCAAAGUCAUGGUUAAGUGGGAAACGAUGUGGGAAGGCCCAGACAGCCAGGAUGUUGGCUUAGAAGCAGCCAUCAUUUAAAGAAAGCGUAAUAGCUCACUGGUCGAGUCGGCCUGCGCGGAAGAUGUAACGGGGCUAAACCAUGCACCGAAGCUGCGGCAGCGACACUAUGUGUUGUUGGGUAGGGGAGCGUUCUGUAAGCCUGUGAAGGUGGCCUGUGAGGGUUGCUGGAGGUAUCAGAAGUGCGAAUGCUGACAUAAGUAACGAUAAAGCGGGUGAAAAGCCCGCUCGCCGGAAGACCAAGGGUUCCUGUCCAACGUUAAUCGGGGCAGGGUGAGUCGACCCCUAAGGCGAGGCCGAAAGGCGUAGUCGAUGGGAAACAGGUUAAUAUUCCUGUACUUGGUGUUACUGCGAAGGGGGGACGGAGAAGGCUAUGUUGGCCGGGCGACGGUUGUCCCGGUUUAAGCGUGUAGGCUGGUUUUCCAGGCAAAUCCGGAAAACCAAGGCUGAGGCGUGAUGACGAGGCACUACGGUGCUGAAGCGACAAAUGCCCUGCUUCCAGGAAAAGCCUCUAAGCAUCAGGUAACAUCAAAUCGUACCCCAAACCGACACAGGUGGUCAGGUAGAGAAUACCAAGGCGCUUGAGAGAACUCGGGUGAAGGAACUAGGCAAAAUGGUGCCGUAACUUCGGGAGAAGGCACGCUGAUAUGUAGGUGAAGCGACUUGCUCGUGGAGCUGAAAUCAGUCGAAGAUACCAGCUGGCUGCAACUGUUUAUUAAAAACACAGCACUGUGCAAACACGAAAGUGGACGUAUACGGUGUGACGCCUGCCCGGUGCCGGAAGGUUAAUUGAUGGGGUUAGCGGUAACGCGAAGCUCUUGAUCGAAGCCCCGGUAAACGGCGGCCGUAACUAUAACGGUCCUAAGGUAGCGAAAUUCCUUGUCGGGUAAGUUCCGACCUGCACGAAUGGCGUAAUGAUGGCCAGGCUGUCUCCACCCGAGACUCAGUGAAAUUGAACUCGCUGUGAAGAUGCAGUGUACCCGCGGCAAGACGGAAAGACCCCGUGAACCUUUACUAUAGCUUGACACUGAACAUUGAGCCUUGAUGUGUAGGAUAGGUGGGAGGCUUUGAAGUGUGGACGCCAGUCUGCAUGGAGCCGACCUUGAAAUACCACCCUUUAAUGUUUGAUGUUCUAACGUGGGCCCCUAAUCGGGGUUGCGGACAGUGUCUGGUGGGUAGUUUGACUGGGGCGGUCUCCUCCUAAAGAGUAACGGAGGAGCACGAAGGUUGGCUAAUCCUGGUCGGACAUCAGGAGGUUAGUGCAAUGGCAUAAGCCAGCUUGACUGCGAGCGUGACGGCGCGAGCAGGUGCGAAAGCAGGUCAUAGUGAUCCGGUGGUUCUGAAUGGAAGGGCCAUCGCUCAACGGAUAAAAGGUACUCCGGGGAUAACAGGCUGAUACCGCCCAAGAGUUCAUAUCGACGGCGGUGUUUGGCACCUCGAUGUCGGCUCAUCACAUCCUGGGGCUGAAGUAGGUCCCAAGGGUAUGGCUGUUCGCCAUUUAAAGUGGUACGCGAGCUGGGUUUAGAACGUCGUGAGACAGUUCGGUCCCUAUCUGCCGUGGGCGCUGGAGAACUGAGGGGGCUGCUCCUAGUACGAGAGGACCGGAGUGGACGCAUCACUGGUGUUCGGGUUGUCAUGCCAAUGGCACUGCCCGGUAGCUAAAUGCGGAAGAGAUAAGUGCUGAAAGCAUCUAAGCACGAAACUUGCCCCGAGAUGAGUUCUCCCUGAGACUUAGAGUCUCCUGAAGGAACGUUGAAGACGACGACGUUGAUAGGCCGGGUGUGUAAGCGCAGCGAUGCGUUGAGCUAACCGGUACUAAUGAACCGUGAGGCUUAACCUU
rnacentral:rRNA from 1 species